rnacentral:lncRNA from 1 species
AUGGUGGAGAUGGAGGAAUGGAGUAAGGGUCCCAGGACCCCAAGGGGGCGCUGGAGUCCUCGGGGGAAUGAUGGACAGAGAAGAAAAGAUGGAAUCCUGGGAGUGGGUGGAGUCCUGAAGGAUGAGGGACAGAGUUGUGGAGUCUUGGGGGUGGGGCACUGUAAUCCUGGGGCAGAUGAUGGACAGAGAGGGAGAGAUGGAGUCCUGAGGGGGCGCUGGAGUCAUGGAGGGGAUGGUGGACACACAAAGAGAGAUGGAAUCCUGAGGGGGCGCUCGAGUUUUCCGGAGGAGAUGAUGGACAGAGAGGGAGAGACGGAGUCCUGAGGGGGCGCUGGAGUCCUGCGGAGAAGAUGACGGACAGAGGGGGCGCUGGAGUCCUGCGGAGGAGAUGAUGGACAGGAGUGGUCCUGAAGGGGGAACUGGAGGCAUGGCAGUGGAUGAUGGACAGGAAGGUGGAGGAGAGGUCCAGAGGGGCGCUGAAGUAACUUAAGGACGACGAAGUGGAGAGGAACCGACCUGGAGACUCUGGGAGGACCGGCAAGAGCAGUGAAACCUUCCAGAGCUUUUGACGUUGUCCAGCAGCGAGCUGUGCAUUCACGCUCUAGGCGGUUGAAGCGACCCUGUGAUGUGCUUCAAGGACCUUUAUCAUUGGAAAGUGGGUACCCAAGAGGCUUUGAUGAGGUGAGCUCUGGCAUCUAGCACCUCUAGCUUGGAGCUGUGUGUGCUGUUUCUCAAGAUGGACUUGGGAUAUGUAUAUGUUUUGCCACAAGAGGAGGCGGCUGCCAGGGCUGCGUGUGCAGCCGCUAUCACCUGCUGGUGUGUACAGGAAGUGUUGCCACACUGGCUGCUGCUUUGCCACACAUGAGAACUGUUGAUCAAAUGGCCG